rnacentral:lncRNA from 1 species
GAGUACAGAACUGUAAGGAAGCCGUACCCGUCUACACUACACUACACUACACUUGAAAGUUACAAGAAAUGGGUGGGGUACGGCAAGGAAAAGCGCUUAGGAGUGUUAAAUAUCCCACUUUACGAUUUUAACUGGUUUAAGUAGUUCAUAGAAGAAAUACGAGGGAAAAUUCUUAAGUAUUUUAACCAAGUUGGAGUGAGAACGUAACAUCCAAGCUUGGGGAAGUGAAGAAUGCAUUGGGCAGCAAGAAUUUCCCAGCAUCAGCACCCGUGCCAGAAAAGAACAUUCUAAAAUCAAUCUAAGUUUAUAUCCUAGGACUAUCCAGGGAAGGAUCUUGCCAUCUGAUAACUAUCAGGGAGAAAAAAAGAAAAUUUUAAAAAGGGGAAAGAGCUCAAUAAUGAAAUUAAACCAGAUGCCAAUUCUGUGAAAAUCAUUGCAAAUAAUAAACUUUAAUGCAGAGUCACGGAGAAGAAAACAGAGAUUAUGCCUGUGAUGGUUAACCCCUGCUGUCAACCGGACUGAAUCGAGGGUUAUCUAGAGCCACCCCUCUGGAGAGUCUGAGGGCGUGUCCAGAGAGGUUUACCUGGGGAAGGAAGACCCACUGAGCGUAAUGUGGGAGGUACCUUCCUCUGCAGUGCAGCCACGGACGGAAUAAAAGGAGAAACAGAGAACAUGGUCUGAAAGUCAGCAUUCCCAGGCAUUCACUCCCUGACCGCAGACACAGUGUGACCAGCUGCUGUGUGCCCCUGUCAAUAUGGAUAGAGUCACUUCUGUCGCUGCCAGAUUUCAGCUGUCGUUCGUGAUAGGUGGGAUGCUCAGACUGUGAGCCAGAAUGAGCCUUUCCUUCUUUACGCUGUCAUGGGAUGAGGACAGUGAUCAAUACACUCCAUGUCUCUAAAGCAGAGGUCAUCACUCCUUAUUCCUGGGCUGGCCAUAAGAAAAGAUCCCCUCUCAAAAUGUCACUUUCCACAAAAUGGACAGAGUUCACAAAAUUAACAAAAUU